rnacentral:lncRNA from 1 species
UCAAAUUUGAAAAAAGUUCAUGAAAUUUAUAAAAAGUUCACCGAAUUAAAAAAGAUUUCAUUAAUUUUGGAAGAAAAUAUUCAACUUGAAAAAUGGUCAUCAAUUUUUUUUUAAAAUUAUCAAAUUUAAAAAAAGUUCAUCAAAUUUAAAAUAAGUUCAUCAAAUUAUUAAAAAUCAUUGAAUUUGAGAAAAAAGUGAUCAGAUCGGAUGUGGUGGCUCGGUGGUUAUGGCC